GUCUAUUCUCGAACUUCUCGUAUACGGCUUAGGACCUCGAAUAAGUAUAACUUAUUUCUAAUAUGUUCUAUCUGCUUGAAAUCGAGUCAGUCAUUGCUUGUUUAGUUAUUAGGUUCUUUGCUUAAAUCGAAAUUAGGUGGUUAGAGGAUUCAACAUCGAUUGUUUCACUUAAUGUAAAUGCUUAGCUAGGAUUGUUUUUGUGUGGAGACGGAUACAGAGACAGACUUAUGUAUGCCGGAUCGUAUGAGGUUAUGGCCAACUAUAGUCGACCGGUUGAGCUGUAGCCUGGAAGGAUCGAUAAAUCGUCCAUGGGCGGUGUCCGAGCACUAUCUCGAGCUGUGUUAUGUUUUUGGCCUUUUAGUGGGCAGCGAGUGCGCGCCUCGCUAGAACAAUUUUUUGUUGUUUGGAUACUUUAGGUGCCGUGUUUGACAUGUAUUAGAAUUAAAUUAUAUUUAUUUGGAGUGCUAUGUCCGGGUCCAUGGACUUUAGGGUAGCAUCUCAUACCUCAUUGGGUGAUUACCCUGUCGCUCACCCCUCACUCUGACCGAUGAGCAGGGGUGAUUAUCGGACUGGUGCUAUUGGGCUUUUGGGCUUCUAUCGCUUUUAUCGCUUUUACCGUUAUCGGGCUUUUAGGCCUUUGGACUUGGUGGCAACCACCAUUAAGUUUUGAUUCAUGGAAGCCUGUCCAAUUUUGGUCAAUGAACUUGCAAUAGAAGCAGACUUUGACUUAAGAGAGAAAUUAAUAGAGAGAAAAGAUAGGAACUAACUUUUACCUACAGAUCCAGAUACUUGUUUGAAAAUCCUUGCAUCCUGUGAUCGGUACUCCCAAGGUAAAGCUUGCACUUUUAUUUAUGUUAAGAAAUGAGGGUGGUAGAGGGGAAUGUCAGACAUGAUUUGCUAAGUUGUUGGCUAGGUGAAUUUGGUUGCUAAGCUAAGAUAUGGUAUAAUGUGCUUUUGUGAUUAGGACUUCUUAGAUAUGGAUUGCAAUAUUGUAGAGGUGAUGAUUCUAAGUUUUAAAUCAUGUGAGUCCCUGCUGUUUUCAAACCUCUUUCAGAGAGACUGUCCGUGUGUUUUGCUUGAGGACAAGCAAAAAGGUAAGUCUGAGGAGUUUGAUAGACCAUGGAUUUUACCCACUUUCAGUUAUAGUCUAUAAGUGUUUUAAUAUAUAUUUACUACUAUAUGGAGUCUAUUUAGAGUACUUACAGGUUCAUGUACGUUCUAGAUAAAUAUGGUGAUUUUAGAGCGUUUUGAGGUGUAGAACUGCACAGGCGCGUCAGAUGUCUAGCUAUGGUUGGAGACCUUUCAACUGUUAGAUUUAACCCAUAUUUUGACACAAUAUAGAGUUUUGAGUAAGAUUUCCAAUUCCCACUGGUUUGAGGUCCAUCAGCAUCCUGUAGCAGAAGUUAUGAUCGUUUUACUGAACAGCGGUCAGUCUGCCUCGCAAGAAGAAGCUGUCGAGGAGAUGAAGGAAUGUCAAUUGAUAACACAGCAUUGGUGUCGAUUGACAGUGAUUCCAGCAUAUGGGCUGAGCAUAUUUUAUGACCAUUGAAGCCCAGAAACAACCCCAAAUUACCAGAAUACCCUUGGCCGACCAGAAAUCCUAUUUAUGUUAUUUAUAAGCAAUUGUUGACGGCUACACGCUCUUUAAGCUUUCUUUGAUUCUUGGUAUAGGUUAAGAGUGAAAGGAGGAACUCCUUCUGAGUCCUCCAGGAACUACAUUGGUUUUUGUUUUAUAUUAUUUAUGCUUUUCAUCUAUUCAUCUAUGAUUUCUGUGACAAACUUCAUGUCUGAAUAGAUCUUCCUGUUAGGUUUAGGGUUCAAAUAGGUUAUGAAGGAUUAGUCCAAAAUAUAGAACUGCUAAGUUAUGAUAUUCAUCAUAGGAUUGUUCUUACUGCUUGUGUUCUAGAUUCAUGAACUAGAACCCUGAUCUUAGAAUCUUUAGGCACAAUUGCGAAUGCUUGUUCUUUUCUCUGAACUGAAUUCUAUUGAGCUAGGAUUGCUAGAAAUAUAGGAGAGUUGAUUUAGGAACCCUAGUGAACACAUAUUCAACCCGAUCGCAAAGCUUGCUAGAAGCGAAAUCGAUCGAUAAUCCAAUAGAUUAAUCGAUCGAUAUUUUGAAAGGUGUAUCGAUCGAUAAUCCUAUAGAAUAAUCGAUCGACACUUUCUUGUGAUUAGUAAACGAGAGUUGAGAUCCAAGAUCUGGAUAUUAGACUGUCUAUACAAUGGAAGUUGUUAGAUUUGUACUCCUAGUUGAGUUCUAUAAUAUCUUGCAAGCAUAAUUAGCCUCUAUAUCAUUAUAAUCCUCAUUACCUGAAUAGAAACCCUAGAUCUAGCAACCAUCCUUCCAUGAAACAACUCUUUGCCAAGCUGAACAAUUGUCUUGUUCAACUUGUUUACUGCUUUAUUUACUGCUUUGCUAUAUUUAUUUACUGUUUUAUAAACUAUUAGCCUAGCUUAAUCAUAUAACUUUUAGAUCUAGUUGGUUCCCUAGCUUCCUGUGAAUUCAAUCUCUAAGUACUACAACUCGACCUCUUAUUUGAGAAAGUAUAAAUCACUCCUUAGGGUAAUUUGAGUGAUAUCACGUCUUCUCAGCUCCCAUGAGAUGAAUCAAACUUUGAACAACGGUAUUCGAAGAAUCACUCAUAGAAAAACCUGCAACAAUAUGAAUGCUAGUUAAUUUACCUGAGGACACCAAAGGAAAACUAAACAAAAAGCGCUGCAUAACUAUCGACGAAUAUGACCCAUUCGAAAGGGAUGAGCCUAAAGUUAAAGCUCCCAACUAAGGCAUUGUUAACU